rnacentral:rRNA from 1 species
UACGAAGGGGGCUAGCGUUGCUCGGAAUCACUGGGCGUAAAGCGCGCGCAGGCGGCGAUCUACGUCUGGGGUGAAAGCCCGGAGCUCAACUCCGGGACUGCCUUGGAUACGGGAUCGCUUGAGGAUUGGAGAGGCAAGGAGAAUUCCACGUGUAGCGGUGAAAUGCGUAGAGAUGUGGAGGAACACCUGUGGCGAAGGCGCCUUGCUGGCCAAUUACUGACGCUGAGGCGCGAAAGCGUGGGGAGCAAACAGG